UUAAUCGAUCAAUAUAUAAAUGGGAUAAAUAAACCACCAUAUAGGAAGAGGAGGGAAGUGGGUUCCUCAGAAACCGUUAAAUCCUUUCCUUCCUCCAUGGUUCCCCCUUUUUUCCAUUACAAACAUUUUUCUCUCCGACAGCCCCACACAAACAUAAAUUCUUAACAUCACAUUCAUCAGAUCGUAUCUUUUUUUGAUUUUUUUUUUCAUUUUCUUUUGUUGGGUACCAUCAUUUCAUUUCUUUUAUUCCACAACUAACAUAAACAUUCUUCCGUGUUUCAAGGGAUUCCCCACCAUCCUCUUUCAUCAUUGGCUGGUGGUUGAAUUUGAGGGAUGCCCUUUUGAUAUUUUGGCCUUUCUUUCCCUUGUUCACGUUCAAAAUUGGAUUUUUAUGUGGAAGGGAAAGAGGACACAAUUCCAAGCCUUAAUUGGUUUAUUUUUUUGGUUUUGGAAUUGUAAAAAUGAGUAAGGUUUCUGGUGUUAUUUCCCGUCAAGUUUUGCCUGCUUGUGGGCUUGUGGCUCUCUUUGUUUAUUCUGCCCUUUCCUCAGGGCAAGGUCAAGACAACCUGUCAAGAGGUAUAAGAAGCUCAUUGCUGACAUUUUUCCCUCGUAACCAGGUGGAAGUGCCAAAUGAUAGAAGCAUUGGAAAAUUAUGUGAUUAUACUGCCAGAAAUCCUUUAUGCAUCCCAAAGGUAUGGAAUCUUUAAACAAAAAGCUCAAAUAAGUUUUGAUGUAUUGUAUUCUGUUAAUUAUAUUGUGUACUGAUUCUUGUAAAUGUUCACUUUUAUGAAGUUCUACAAAAUGAAAUGUAUAAUAUCUUGUAUCAUAUGAUAAUUUACAAGAAAGAAAUAAAAGCCAAUUAUAGAACAGGAUGGGUAAGGAUCUUUGGAGUUUGGACAACAAAAGAAGAAAAGGAGAAGGGGAGGUUAAACAUUCAGCUCAAUAUAGCUCUUCAUUCCCUUUGCAUAUCUGACACUGAAAACUACAUAAAAGACUUGUGUGCUUAAAUGCACACAGAACUAUCCUAUCUCAAAGAAGAUUCACCAGCUUCAGCUGCUGACUGAAAAUUCUAGGAUCUUCUUCCUAUCUAAAUGCAUCAAAUGCUUGCAAAAGGAGCAGAAGUAUGCAACACAUUGAAUUUUUUUUUUCUAUCAGCCAAUGUUAGUUGUUAGUGGGGGGAUUCAAGCACAGCCUCCGCCCCCCCUCCCUUCUCCCUUCACCACCAAAGCAACUUUAUAACCCCUUUCUCCUUUCUCCUCUCUAAGGCUUUGUAACUGGGAGGAGAAAAAGGUUUAAGUGCACUAUAUACCAAACAACUUAUCCACAUUUCCAAAUUCAUGUAACACAUAAUGACAAAGACAUUUGGAGAAAAGGUCAUAUUUUGUCUACGCAACUGCAUAAGAUCAUUAGUACAAAUCCUACUAGUUUUGCUUCCCAAACAAAAAUCUCAAUUAUGGAGGUGGCUUUAAACUUCCAAAAAGUUGUAGUGAGGGAUUGCAGAUGCUAUGAAGGAAAACAAAUUUAUGAUUGAAAAAUAUCACAGAUUCUAAGUUCCAUGUUUGCACAUCAAGUGUACCAUGGAGAUUAAAUCAGAAGUUUCUUGGUCAUUAAGAUUUUCACAUUGAAGAUUUAAAUAUUCAACCAUUUGAGAGAGAUCACUGUAGAGCCCGAUUAGAGAAGUUUAAACAUUUAUAUGAUGGGAAAUUCUCUAACCUUUAUUGUUCUAAAUAUGCUUCUUACUGUGGACAGAGUACAGACUUAUGUUAAUCAUAAUGCCCUUCUCUCAUUCCCACUAAAAAUUUUAUCCUUGUCAUCAACUGUACAAUUCUCUUAGGUUUGACAUAGUAUUCAUGUACCUCAACCUGCAUCAAUGUUCCUUCUUACUGUGGGUUUGACUUUUUAAAUUUUAAUAAUAAUCUCUAAUAUAUUUAGUCAUCAAAUAUUUGCCUCUUCUGUCUGAACCAUCAAAUUAAAAAAAAAAAGACCUUCAGGGUAAAUAGGGAAAUUUUUUUUUGUAUCCUUUCUUUUUCAUCUAUACCCUUCUUUGAUUUCUUUAAAUAAUGAUUUUCAUAUCAUUUUGAGUAACUAGAAUAUAAAUUAUAGUGAUUAUUUUAAGAAAAGUUUCAAUUCUAAAUGCUUAAAGGGUGUUGCUAUGCUCACUAAAGUUAUAUAAUUGAUCAGAUUGUGCAAGCCCUUGAGCAAAGGUAAUCACUUCAACCAAAAUAGUCAUGUGCAUUUACAAGAAAUUUCUGUUUUCUUGUAAAGAACAAAUGUGAGUUCAUAUUUAUCUUAUCUUUAAGCUUGUAUACAUAUAUGGGUUUAUACAUGUCUGUUGGAAUAUCUUAGAUAUUUAUAUUUCUCUGACAAUUGUAAUGCGAUGAUGAUUUUUCACAUUAUACUUGUGAAUGUAUUAUGGAAUGUUUACGUCCAUGGUCUGACCUAAAGUUUUAAAUUGUUCUUGCUAAGAUAUAGUAUUUCAGUCUGCGUUGUUCUGGGAUCAAACUGCUAAAAUUGAUAAAUGUUUAAGGUACCAUCUUCCUUUUUAAUCAGUGGAGUUUCUUUUCCUUUUAAAUAAUUUUCCAAAAUUAAUUUUCCUUUGCAGAAUUCUUUUCAUGAGGUACUAGUUCGGAGUUUUCAGCUUGCUUUUUCUUUAUGGAAUAUUUCUCUUAAAGAAGGUUGAUCCCUACCUUCAGUUAAUUGAAGAUUACAAGUUGCAAGCUGUCAGCUUUGCACCUGAUGAGAUCUAAGCAUCAACUAUGGAUCCAAAGAAGACGAUGAUAGAGCCUUAGACACGCUUUCAGAUUUAUUGAGUUAUAUACAAGAAACAACGGGUUCUCUUUGCUUCUGAAAUCAUUAAGAGCUUGGAAAUGUUUGCAAAAAAUUAUCAUCAAUAAGGGAACAACUGCUAGAAGAAUUCGCACUAGAUGCUAUGUGUGAACUUGGAUCUCAAUUAACCGUGAAUAUGGCUGCAAAGGUGUGUUAAAUGGAUUUCUAAAGGACAGAUUUCGUUUGGAACUAAUAACUGUCUGUAUGUUCCUUGUUUAUAUUGCAAAUUAUGACUGGUAUAGUUUCACAAUUUACAGGAUGCCCUCUAUAGUUUCAAAUAUUCAUGAUGACUUCAUUUUUGAACCAUUUGAAAGUCAAAUUAAACAUAGUCGGAGUCUCUCCACAGAGGUCCCAAGUCUUCUUAGUGCUAAUCAACUUUUAGAAUUAGCAUGUGAUCCCUUUCUUGAUCAGUUUCCUCAUACAUUUUUGUUCUCUUUGAAUUAUGUUUUAAGUUCUUAUAUCAAUUACACAAAAUUUGGCACAACACUUUUUGAGUGUAGGUUUUGGACAAAUCUCAUCCAGCUGGCAGGAUUUCUGUAUCAAAUGCAUUUAAUAUGCCAUACAAGGAUAUGGCUGAUAUGUGUGAGGUACUUUUGAUGGAAAAGAAAAAGAUGUCCAGAUUGAUGAGUACCCAACAGAAGCAAGAAUGUGUAGUGGACUCCCUUUCACCAAAUCAUGGCAAUGAAUUGAAAAAUGUGGAUUCCUCUUCGAAUGUUGAUUUUCAGAAGGCAACUCCUUGCUUUGAAAUUCCAUGCUUACAUAAAACUAGUAUUUUAGCCCUGAGAGAGAUAGAAGAUUGAAGAGGCAAUAAUGCUGAACAUAAAGUGGCAGAGAUCACUCUGCUUUAGUUGUGCGCGGUUCCUAGACUAUCAUGAUCUCUAUUAAUUUCCGUAUGACAUAUAUAUGAAUAUUAUUAAUUCUUUUUUAAAUUAAAAAACUUUGAAUUUGUGUCACUUAGAAAUUGGUUGGACGAUGGACACGUGUGACAGAGCUGAAUCAUCUCUCAUAAAAAAUGCUCUAUAAACUCAUGAUUAAGUGAGGCCAAUGCCAAUGCUGCUUUCCAUUUCUCUUAAGAA